UUGGAGGGCAAGUCUGGUGCCAGCAGCCGCGGUAAUUCCAGCUCCAAUAGCGUAUAUUAAAGUUGUUGCAGUUAAAAAGCUCGUAGUUGAAUUUCGGAAUCUGUCCGUCGGUCGGGCUUCACUGUCCGUACUGGUGUGAUGGGUUUCUACCUUCUGAAUAAUCGGCAUGUCAUUAAUUUGGUGCGCCGGGGAAGCAGAACUAUUACCUUGAAAAAAUUAGAGUGCUUAAAGCAAGCUAGUGCUUGAAUAGAUUAGCAUGGAAUAAUAAAAUAGGACGGCAUGGUUCUAUUUUGUUGGUUUCUAGGAUCACCGUAAUGAUUAAUAGGGAUAGUUGGGGGCAUUAGUAUUCAAUUGUCAGAGGUGAAAUUCUUGGAUUUAUUGAAGACUAACUUCUGCGAAAGCAUUUGCCAAGGAUGUUUUCAUUAAUCAAGAACGAAAGUUAGGGGAUCGAAGACGAUCAGAUACCGUCGUAGUCUUAACCAUAAACUAUGCCGACUAGGAAUCGGACGAUGUUAAUUUUAUAAUGACUCGUUCGGCGCCUUACGGGAAAC
rnacentral:rRNA from 1 species